rnacentral:tRNA from 1 species
GGAGAGAUGUCCGAGUGGCUUAAGGAGCACGAUUGGAAAUCGUGUGUGGGGUUAAAUCCACCGAGGGUUCGAAUCCCUCUCUCUCCGCCA